UUGAAGAGUUUGAUCAUGGCUCAGAUUGAACGCUGGCGGCAGGCUUAACACAUGCAAGUCGAGCGGGGAAGGGUAGCUUGCUACCUAACCUAGCGGCGGACGGGUGAGUAAUGCUUAGGAAUCUGCCUAUUAGUGGGGGACAACAUUCCGAAAGGAAUGCUAAUACCGCAUACGCCCUACGGGGGAAAGCAGGGGAUCUUCGGACCUUGCGCUAAUAGAUGAGCCUAAGUCAGAUUAGCUAGUUGGUGGGGUAAAGGCCUACCAAGGCGACGAUCUGUAGCGGGUCUGAGAGGAUGAUCCGCCACACUGGGACUGAGACACGGCCCAGACUCCU
rnacentral:rRNA from 1 species